rnacentral:lncRNA from 1 species
CAGAGGGAUCCAGUGCAAAACUGGGGUUGGCCUUAUAAUACAAAUAUUGGAAUUUUCAGACACCAUCAACUGCAGGUUCAAAGAACUCCACUACAGUUCUGAAUGCAAUCUGUGGACCUGCACACAGGGGGCUUCUCAGAAAUGUGGAUCCUCAGACUUCAGUCAAGGCCUAUUGUGUCUGCAUUUUAAUAAAAUAUCCAAAGGAUGCCUAUAAGUAUUGUCUGCAAAACCUACAUCUGGUUAGAAUGAGAAAUUUCUAGGACUGUGUCCAUGGAUUAUUUGUCUUCCUUGUCUCGCAGCAGCAGAAUGCAUGACAAUAGGAGAAGAAAAUCCUUUAUCUCUGAUGGCUUCUGGUGGAUUUUAUGGGAUUGAUUGGAGGAGUGGCAGGAAGUUUGAGUACUGCUUGCCAGCAGGAAGUAAAAGAUCCAGGAAGUGGAUGAACAGGAAACCGUGUAGCAUUUGUCUGGACGUGCCAUCUGCCUUGAGCAGAUCAAGAACACUGUUGCAAUGA